rnacentral:lncRNA from 1 species
CUUUUAGAAAGGAGUUUUAACAUGUUAUUAAUUAUCACCUCUAUUCUUUGCUACGGUAAAUUUAACUUUACAAAGAUCCUUCCUUCCCUUUAUUAUUAGGAGUAUGUUUAAUAGAGAGAAAAAUCAAUAGAUGAGUGCUAACAAUCUUAAUUUAUAAAUAAAAUGUUGCAUCAUAGAUAGCUGAUUUUGCUUUCUUAUUUUGCAGUGCAACAAUUCAAGGAUAAUUUUUGUUAAUAUUUCAGGUCAAUCAUAUUUGAAUUAAAAAUUUAAAUUAAAAAAUUAAAAUGCCAGCCAUCUGUAAAUCUACAAACAACAGUUGUACUGUGAAGCCUUUAUUAUUAGAGACAUAUCAGAUUCCCCAAUUUCAAGUCAUAACAUAAAUUUCAAGUCAUAACAUAUGUAAAAUACAUAACAUGUGGUUUCCAUUAAUAAAAUAUUUUGUAUAGAAAUAGCAAAAUAUUUUUACACAAAGUAUUGGGUCUGUCAUCACUUCCAUUUGCAAGGGAUGAAGACUGCCAAUAUUAAGUCAGGUUUACAAGAGCAUCUUGGGUUGUAAUAGGGAAGCAAUAAAGAGGUCAAGGGAACAGUUAUAAAAUAAAUGAAUAGAAUAUGUUUUCCCAGGUGCCACUUGGGGAAAAACACUUUGAUAGAUCCAAAGGAAAUAAGAAACUUAAAUAGAUAUUUUCAAGGCUAAAAAAGCUACUGAUGGAGGAAUAAAUAUAAUCAUCAAACACAGCUAUUAGAAAAUCAUAUUGGAGGCUGGGCCAAGGUGGGCAGAUCACCUGAGGUUGGGAGUUUGAGACCAGCCUGACCAACACAGAGAAACCCCGUCUCUAUUAAAAAUACAAAAUUAGCCAGGUGUGGUAGCGCAUGCUUGUAAUCCCAGCUUGGGAGGUUGAGACAGGAGAAUCGCUUGAACCCAGGGGCAGAGGUUGCAGUGAGCCGAGAUCAAAACAGCCUGGGCAACAAGAGUGAAACUCCGUCUCAAAAAAAAAAAAAAAAAAAAGAAAGAAAGAAAAAGAAAAAAAAUGGAAAUAAUAUUGGCCUCAAACUCAUUCUGAAAGCAGAAAUGGGAUUCUGUGGGCUCUUGUUUUAGAGAGUGAAGUUGCUUGAGUGAACCCAGGGACUCAUUGCUUAAUUUGUUACUCUCACCUUAGGACAAUUCUAAGAGCUGUAAUAUUCCCUUCCACCCAUCUAUACACUUUUUUCAACCACCUAGUUCCACUUUCUAAAUAUAUAUCGCUGAAUGCAUGCUAAAACUAUUUUAUCCAUCAUUGAGUGCUCUCUGUUGCAGCUCAGCACUGAGUAGGAAUCUAAUGUCUUUAACUUCAAGGGACUUGUAAUAUACUUAGGGAGGCAAGACUUAUAUCAAAUGCAUAAAAUAUACAGUAGGCCAGGCAUGGCGGCUCAUACCUGCAAUCCCAGAGCUUUGGGAGGCUAAGGCCACAGGAGUACUUGAGGCCAGGAGUUUGAGGCCACCUUGGGCAACAUAGUGAGACCUCAUCUCUACUAAAAAUAAAAAAUUAGCCAGACAGGGUGGUGCAUGCCUGUAGUCUCAGCUACUUGGGAGGCUGAGGUGGGAGGACUGCUUGAGCCUGGGAGUCCAACACUUCAGUGAGCUAUGAUUGCACCACUGCACUCAAGCCUAGACAACAGAUUGAGACCCUGUCUCUAAAAAAAAAUAAUAAAAAUUAAAACACAAACAAACAAAACAAGCAAACAAAACAAGUCAAGGCAGUUUUUAUAGAAACUGACAUUGUAGCCAGGUGCAGUGGCUCACACCUUUGGGGGCCGAGGCAGGCAGAUCACUUGAGGUCAGGUGUCCGAGACCAGCUUGGCCAACAUGGUGAAACCCUAUCUCUACUAAAAAUACAAAAAUUAGCCGGGCAUGGUGGUGUGCGCCUGUAAUCCCAGCUACUUGGGAGGCUGAAGCAGGAGAUUGCUUGAACCUGGGAGGCAGAAAUUGCAGUCAGCUGAGAUCAUUCCACUGCACUCCAGCUUGGGUGAGAGAGUGAGACUCCAUCUCAAUGAAUAAAUAAAUGAAUAAAUAAACCGACAUUGGUAAAGAGGUUAUCUUUAGUUGGGCCUUAAAGACAAUGGAGUGGACACUGUCUGUUGGCUCCAUAGCUAACAUUCAUUACUUGCCUUCCCAUUACUAACAGCGUCCAGACUUUAACUUGGAUAACAUAUAUGCUUUACCAUAAGCUCAAGUACUUUAGGGAAAGCUGAUCCCACUUCAAGCUUCAGUCGGGGAGUUGGGGAGGGGUCUGUGGCUUGUUUAAAAACAAACAUUGGUACAUUCAAUUUCCCCUGCUUACAUCAUUUUUCGGUUGAGGGUGGGGAUGGGGAAUGGGAAGGGGAGAACACGACCCAACCAGGGUGAAUUUCAGGACCCUUGUUUGAAAUGCCAGCUAAGAAAUGUCUGGGAAAACACCAGGAAGAGAAAACAUCUCUGUUCCUCCAACACCAUGUUGUAUGCAUGUGAAGCCUGGAACCAGUAGAGUCAUUUUGCUAGAUGUAAGCUGAGGGCCAAGGAAAUAUAUGGAGGAGGUUACUGCCAAGUUACUUACAAAUGAGCUCAUUCCCUCAGGGGUGUUAUGAUCUU